AUUGAACGCUGGCGGCAUGCCUUACACAUGCAAGUCGAACGGUAACAGGUCUUCGGAUGCUGACGAGUGGCGAACGGGUGAGUAAUACAUCGGAACGUGCCUAGUAGUGGGGGAUAACUACUCGAAAGAGUGGCUAAUACCGCAUGAGAUCUACGGAUGAAAGCAGGGGAUCGCAAGACCUUGUGCUACUAGAGCGGCCGAUGGCAGAUUAGGUAGUUGGUGGGAUAAAAGCUUACCAAGCCGACGAUCUAUAGCUGGUCUGAGAGGACGAUCAGCCACACUGGGACUGAGACACGGCCCAGACUCCUACGGGAGGCAGCAGUGGGGAAUCUUGGACAAUGGGCGCAAGCCUGAUCCAGCAAUGCCGCGUGCAGGAUGAAGGCCUUCGGGUUGUAAACUGCUUUUGUACGGAACGAAAAGCCCUGGGUUAAUACCCUGGGGUCAUGACGGUACCGUAAGAAUAAGCACCGGCUAACUACGUGCCAGCCGCCGCCGUAA
rnacentral:rRNA from 1 species